GGAUGAUGUGUGUGUGAGUGCUGGAUGAUGUGUGUGUGAGUGCUGGAUGAUGUGUGUGUGUGUGUGCUGGAUGAUGUGUGUGGAUGAUGUGUGUGUGAGUGUGUGUGUGUGUGUGUGUGUGUGCUGGAUGAUGUGUGUGUGAGUGCGCUGGAUGAUGUGUGUGUGUGAGUGCUGGAUGAUGUGUGUGUGUGUGUGUGCUGGAUGAUGUGUGUGUGUGUGCUGGAUGAUGUGUGUGUGAGUGCUGGAUGAUGUGUGUGUGUGUGUG